CCCGACGGUGUGCUUACUUACGUUCGAUUCGUGAAAGACACUGAGCAUAAAACCUUUGCUUACGCAGGCUUUUAAAUAAGAUCCCAUUUGUAAUUUACGUUCUUGUGAUCUAUAAAUCUCAAAUUAACUUAAUAUUGACUUAAAAUCAGCGAGUUCCCCCUCAUUAAAAGCCAAACAGGUAUCUUGGGAGUGUCGCCGCUGCAGUGAACGAGGUGGGGCAGCAAGACAGAACUGUGGCUGAUGGGGGAAAGAAAUGGUCUGACCUUAAACUGCAAGGGGGAAGAAAUGCCCGACAUAACCAGCAGGAUUAAGGCAACUGGAGGGUCCUGGCACGCCGGAGCUCUCCCAAAUGGACCAGCGCAUUGGGACACAUCACUGGGGAAAGAACAUACACUGGCACAUGCUCCGACGGCGACAGUGAAUGUUUAAAAAAGUGCCAUCGUAAACGGUGAAGCCGGCUGGCGAAACCCCCACGACUGGGUCACGAGACGUGGGAAGCUGCGUUGCAGCCCGUGCGCUCUCCACCCAGAGAUGAAGACCGAGGUUAAGUUGAUUUUAUAUUCACACAGUCGGACAUUCAGACAUCCAAAAGCCAUUUAAAAAAAAAAGCAAUUUAAAAAUGAAUAACUAAUUCACCGUUUGUCACAGAAUUAUCAAGCUAGAUAUGAUUUAGUCCUGUAAAUAUCUAGCAUACUUUUACAACCUUUUUGUUUUGAGGAAAAAUUCCAGUUUUGACUUGAUAGAAAUACAUAACAUCUAUAAAAUGCCAUUCAAAGCUAUAUAAAUUAAUGUUUUCACUGAUUAUGACAGAAUCAUCAAACUAAGUCUGAUUUAUUCUAUAAAUGUCUAGUAUACGUUUACAACCUUUGAUUUGAUAGAGUGUAACGCGUGUCGUACAAAGGGGACCAAGGCGCGGCGUGUGAAGCGCACAUAUUUUACUUUAAUGAAACAACAACAACCCGACCGUCAACAGUUCUGUCAGGUACAAGGAACAAAACAGAAAACAACUACCCAUAAACCACAGGGGGAAAAAAAAACACCCCUACUAAAUAUGACCUUCAAUUAGAGGCAAUGAGGAACAGCUGCCUCCAAUUGAAGGUCAACCCAAUAAACCUCAACAUAGAAAUAGAGAACAUAGAACAAACACAAAAACACUCCCCUGUCACGCCCUGACCACUCGACCAUAGAAAAUAACAACUUAUAUCGGUCAGGACGUGACAUGGAAAUACAUCUCAAAUAUUGCAUUUAAAGAUGAAGAACUCUAAUUCAGUGAUUGUCUCAGAAAAAAGUGAAAAUAUGCCUUCAUUUGCAAUAACUUUAAAUAAAAUGUUCAUUUCAAGUGCAAUUUGUUCUAUAUGAAGUUAGACAAUGUUUACAUAAACAUAAAACAGGGUUAUGUUUAUUUACAUGUAAAUUACAGUUCUGGAAUACCCAAAUUCUGUUACAUGCUUUUGCAAUUAGGAACGUUUUUUUUAAUUGGAUUUUUUGUUCAAUUAUUAAAUUGACUUUAAAUGACCUUCAUAUGACCCUGACAGAAGCACACAUAACUGAGGUGUUAAUCAUCGUUGAGUAUUCAGGCAAUAUAAAUCAUACAGUAAUAAAGGUAUACAUUAGCAAAAAAAUAGUAUAUCUCUAGUAUCUCUCACAGUAGAAUAAUAGAGUCAUGAUAAUAGAACAUCAGAGCAAUAACUAGGGUUGCAAAGGGAUGGAAUUUUUCAGGGAAUUUUUCAUGGGAAGUUCAGCCUGGGAAUAUUGCUUAAAUUCAUCAAAAGUUAGCUUAUAACAGUGAACCUUUUUUUGUGGGAUACAUAUAAGGAAAUUCUAGAUCUUGUGGUAUAUUUUGGUUAAACUAUCCCCAAUUCAAUGGAAUUGCAACCCUCUGCAUGCACAGUGCAUUCUUCCAUCACAUGUACAGCUGAUUCUCAAGAUCUGGUACAUUAAUGAGAUGCUAUUGAGCCCACACUACUACACUGUCUGAGUCAAGGACUACAUGCUUUCUGGUGAGUUUUGAUUACAAUACUGGGUGGGGUGAAAAUAUCUUAUAUGACAACUAGUAAAUAGUAGCCUACAGCAAAGUGUGUUUUAAAUAAUUUCUAACUUGUUAACAAUUGCUGCUUGUUAGUUUUUGCUACCAUGUGGGUUUUAGCUUGCUUGAGCCUGCUAACUGAGGAAUGUUAAUUCACCUGUUUCCAUACAUGUUUCAUUUUAAAACAUUUCUCGUAAAAAGGAGUUGUUUAAUCAACUGCUUAACUAUUUAUCUGUACAUAGAAUUUAAUUUUUUUAUUUUUUUUAUCUUUACAGAAAAAUGCUAUGGGCACCAUCUGAUGUGCGAAGACAUUUCACUGCAGCUAAUGUAGAAGGAAAAGCUGUUGUAACACCCUGGCCAUAGAGAGGGGUUUUUGUUCUUUAUUUUGGUUAGGCCAGGGUGUGACAUGGGUGGGCGUUCUGUUUAUUUUUCUAUGUUGGUUUGGUUCGGCCGUGUGUGGCUCUCAAUCAGGAACAGCUGUAGUUCGUUGUUGCUGAUUGAGAGUCAUACAUAAGCAGCCUGUUUUUCCUUUGGGGAUUUGUGGGUGAUUAUUUUCUGUCUAGGUUUGUGUUAAUCCUGACAGGACUGUUUGGCUGUCGUUUCUUUUCGUGUUUUGUUUGUAGUGUUCAUUCGUUUAUUAAAAUACUUUAUGAUGAACACAUCCUCCGCUGCACCUUGGUCUCAUUGCGACGACGGUCAUUACAGCUGUGUACAUUUGCAAAUACUGGGCCAAAUCAUAUGUGAAGUAUGCAACAAAGAUGCAGAAUUAUCUGGCCAAGUGCAUAAAGUUCCCUCAGCGCUCACAACAAGCAACCUCUGACUAAAGUCCCUCUACUUCUAUUGGAGGUGAAAAUGAUGAAUCAGACACCUUAUCGAUAGUAACAGAUCACGGUCCUCCUGGAAUCAGAAGUUGUCAGAGUGUCACGAUUCUCUAAGACAAGAACCCAGAAGCAGACCAGGACAAGGUGAGUAAAAUGAAGGUGAGUAUUUAUUGGUAGUCUUGAUGGGUAUAUUGAGUGAUCCAGGAGACGGAGCGGCAGCGGAGGUGAGUUGAUGAGAGUGAAUAGGCAGAUCCAAUGACGUCACUGUAUCCACCGACGGCCAGGCAAGGGAGUUGAAU
rnacentral:lncRNA from 1 species